GCUCUUUAAUACAUCGAGUUAAGUUUGUAAGUGCUACAAUAUGUAAAUAACAUGACCAAGCCUCUUCUUUAGCAAUUUGAUUUCAGUUCUAAUUGAUCCUUCACAGAAGGUCACCAUAUUCGAUUCAUUAAAAAUCUAACGAUGAGAAAAUUGUGCGCCAAAAGUCGAUAAAAUGAAUAACAUUAAUAGUUAAGCAGUAGAUGGAGAUUAUCUUGGGAGUCGUGGAGGUAGUCCAGCAAAGCUGAAAGAUCAACUAGAUUAGUGGCAGGUUCAUCAUCAUUAGGCGCAUGACAAGUACCAGCUCCAGCCAUAUCUUCUAGCAAUGUAUCUGAACGCUCCAAUUCCUUCUGGAAUAAAUCAAUGUUUGAAUUGGGCACCUUUAUCACAAUGAAGUUAAUAACCUCAUUUAGGGUAACGACGUAAACCUCCUUGUUCAAAGUGUCAGCUUCCAAAAAGGCCUUCCAUUCCUCCAAUGUAUUGAUUGCCCUGGCCACGGCUUCGUUAACUGGGAAGUUAUUGCUUCCACUUUUCCGAUCUCCACAGCGACUUUGGCUCUUCCUUGCCUCAGUCCGCCAUGAUGAGCUCUUUC
rnacentral:lncRNA from 1 species